rnacentral:rRNA from 8 species
AUCUCUUGGUUCUGGCAUCGAUGAAGAACGCAGCGAAAUGCGAUAAGUAAUGUGAAUUGCAGAAUUCCGUGAAUCAUCGAAUCUUUGAACGCACAUUGCGCCCUUUGGUAUUCCGAAGGGCAUGCCUGUUCGAGCGUCAUU